UUUAAGUUCAUCGAAGUUAACUCCGACAUGUUGUUUGCCUGAAAAUGUAUUGCUCGGCGUUCAGUUGUUCUAAAAGACACUCAGUGGAGUCGGCGGUUCAUUUUUUUCCCAGUUUCCACACUGAAAACUGAGUGAUCUGUGCCAACAGAGGGAGGACCUCAUGUACAGAGCAGCCCGUUUGUUUCCAUUCAUCUGGUUGUGGUGAAGGGAGACUGCAUGGACAUCCUUAGUUCUCAAAUGUGCUGUGAUGAUGAUGAUGAUGCUAGAAAACCUCUCCCAGUUGAAUGACAGACUAACUGACGAGUUUGUUUAUUAUUCUGUCUUCAGUAUUCACAGGUAGUUUCUUACCUGCAACUUCAUUUCUGCUGUUGUUGACAGGUGGGUCGUGACAUAAAGACUGCCAACAUACUGUGACUGGAAAGACAGCUCCAUGACCUAAUAUACGGACGCCAGAAAACAGCAUGGCUGUGGUGAACUGAAACCUGGCUCUGUGAGCAGUCUGCGGUCAGUAAGUGAAAUACUCGUGAUCUACUGAAAUGCGCAUGCUCACCGCCAGCCCCGACCUGUCCCGUGUUGUGAUACCACUUUGUGACACUAGAGGCUGAGUGAGUCAGUGGCGCGUCAAGUCUGCCCUGAGUCCCACGAAGAAGAACAACUUCCAGCAGCUUGAGGUUAGCAUCACAGAAACACAGGAAUGCCUGAACCUCCUAAAAGGCAAUAUUCAUCUGCAUCCCGAAGCACCGCUCCCGACAAGAAACCACGUUCAACGGCAAAGAAAAGAAGCAACACGAGUAAAUCUCGAUGUGACUUUCCACCGCUGGAGACAAUCCUGAGAGGAAAGAGAUGCGGUUUGAUGCCGAGCUCGCAACUUUCCUGUUAGCCCAGAGAUUUCAGCAUCCCUCUGUCUUUAUCAGGACCUGAGCCAGUACGGCUCAGGUCUCAACGGCAGAGAGUCCAGACACGAUGAAGAGGGUGUAGGACCAGAAUUCCAGUCUAAUCACCAAUGGACCAGCACCUGCCUUUUCUUCUGCAUCUGGCUUCAUCAAUCAACAACCACAUUACAUCAACACUUUGAGGGAUGGCAGAAUCCACCUCGGCCCAGAACCGCACCUUGCCCAGCAAGAAACGGUGACAAAGAAGCUUGCUGGUGCUGCUUCUGAAACAGUUGCCUGGGUUACCAAUGUUGCAAUGUUCUGGAGGAGCAGCCUGGGCCCUCCAGCAGGGGUCCGCCGCCGCCUCCUCCUUCUCCUCCUCCUCCAGACGAUGAACAGCAGGGCCCCUCAUCCAGUGCUGUUGGUCCUCCCCUCACUCCUGCACCACUCCCCUCUUCUGUUCAUCCAUGUCCUCUGCCUGGACUACCUGUACCCAGGACCAGAGCCUACAGGAGAGGAAGGUGACCUGAAGCUGCUGUGGCAGAUUACAACUACACAAACAUUGGAAAUAUUUGAACAUUACUUUAUAAGCUCAAAAUCAUUUUGAGCCUAAUUUCACCCAGGGGCUAAAUUGGGGGCACUUCUGUGAGUGCAUCUAAAUGUGUGUAUACAUGUCUUGCUGUGGUUGUGGGGACAAAUUUGGGGUUGAAACCAUCAGUGUGAGGUUAGUGUGGCCAGUCAUGGCAGCUUCAAAAGGCUUUUUGAGGGACACGUUAACAUCAAAACAGUGUUCAGUAGGAAACAGAUGCAACUGACCCACCAGAACUGCAACCUGGCGCAAAACAAGUUCGUAAUAGAUGUGAUGCUGUCACCCUACACGCUCUUUAGUGUGAACUGAAAAUUGAUAAGAUUUUGAAGCAGUUGUCAGUGUAGUACAGCUCAUGUAUACUAGUUUUAUUCAUAACUCAAUUGUUGUCAUUGAAAAGGUGUUUAAUAAAUAAACUUGUGAUCAAAUUGUA